rnacentral:rRNA from 1 species
UACGUAGGUGGCAAGCGUUGUCCGGAAUUAUUGGGCGUAAAGCGCGCGCAGGUGGUUUCUUAAGUCUGAUGUGAAAGCCCACGGCUCAACCGUGGAGGGUCAUUGGAAACUGGGGAACUUGAGUGCAGGAGAGAAGAGUGGAAUUCCACGUGUAGCGGUGAAAUGCGUAGAGAUGUGGAGGAACACCAGUGGCGAAGGCGACUCUUUGGCCUGUGAACUGACACUGAGGCGCGAAAGCGUGG